GUGCUUGCUUUGGCAGCAUAUAUACUAAAGUUGGAACCAUACGGGAAAAUUAGCAUGACUCCUGCACAAGGAUGACAUGCAAAUUUGGAAAGUGUUCCAUAUUUUU
ensembl:snRNA U6 U6 spliceosomal RNA